rnacentral:rRNA from 1 species
CACGUAGGGGCGAGCGUUGUCCGGAAUUACUGGGCGUAAAGGGCGCGCAGGCUGUUAUGCGAGUCUGCUGUGAAAUGUACCGGCUCAACCGGUGCCUUGCGGCGGAUACUGCAUAGCUGGAGUACUGGAGAGGGAAGUGGAAUUCCCGGUGUAGCGGUGAAAUGCAUAGAGAUCGGGAGGAACACCAGUGGCGAAGGCGGGUAACUGGACUGCAACUGACGCUGAGGCGCGAAAGCGUGGGGAGCAAACAGGAUUAGA